AGUGGUGGAAUGAGGGGGUUGAGGUGAUGCCGGCGAUACUGAUCGAAGUCGAAACGGCCAGCGGUCGCGCCUUCACGCUCCGGCGAGUGAAGAAACGACGAGAACCUGAGUUAGGCGUGUGAGCCUCACGCGCUUGGAUUCCGGCGACCGGAUCAGAUGGGACGGCCUGGCGGCGGCCAAGGUGUCUCUUGAGCUGGGUGGUGAGAACAAAUAAUCACCCUAGAUAGAUGACCUGCUC
rnacentral:misc_RNA from 1 species